rnacentral:rRNA from 1 species
CAGUAGCCACGGUAAUACGGAGGGUGCAAGCGUUAAUCGGAAUUACUGGGCGUAAAGCACACGCAGGCGGUUUGUUAAGUCAGAUGUGAAAUCCCCGAGCUUAACUUGGGAACUGCAUUUGAAACUGGCAAGCUAGAGUCUUGUAGAGGGGGGUAGAAUUCCAGGUGUAGCGGUGAAAUGCGUAGAGAUCUGGAGGAAUACCGGUGGCGAAGGCGGCCCCCUGGACAAAGACUGACGCUCAGGUGCGAAAGCGUGGGGAGCAAACAGGAUUAGAUACCCCGGUAGUCCCUGUCUCUUAUAC